UACAGAGGGUGCAAGCGUUGCUCGGAAUUAUUGGGCGUAAAGGGUAGGUAGGUGGUCUCAUUUGUCAGGGGUGAAAGCCUUGGGCUUAACCCGAGAAGUGCCCCUGAAACGGUGAGACUGGAGUACUGGAGAGGUUCGUGGAAUUCCCGGUGUAGCGGUGAAAUGCGUAGAGAUCGGGAGGAACACCAGAGGCGAAGGCGGCGAACUGGACAGUUACUGACACUCAACUACGAAAGCGUGGGGAGCAAACAGG
rnacentral:rRNA from 1 species